CCUACGGGUGGCUGCAGUGAGGAAUAUUGGUCAAUGGGCGCGAGCCUGAACCAGCCAAGUCGCGUGAAGGAUGACUGCCCUACGGGUUGUAAACUUCUUUUAUAAGGGAAUAAAGUGAGGCACGUGUGCCGUUUUGUAUGUACUUUAUGAAUAAGCAUCGGCUAACUCCGUGCCAGCAGCCGCGGUAAUCCGGAGGAUCCGAGCGUUAUCCGGAUUUAUUGGGUUUAAAGGGAGCGUAGAUGGGUUGUUAAGUCAGUUGUGAAAGUUUGCGGCUCAACCGUAAAAUUGCAGUUGAUACUGGCAGUCUUGAGUACAGUAGAGGUAGGCGGAAUGCGUGGUGUAGCGGUGAAAUGCUUAGAUAUCACGAAGAACUCCGAUUGCGAAGGCAGCUUACCAAACUGCCACCGACAUUGAUGCUCGAAAGUGUGGGUAUCAAACAGGAUUAGAUACCCUGGUAGUC
rnacentral:rRNA from 1 species